ACCGGGAUGGCGGAAUUGGUAGACGCGCCAGAUUUAGGAUCUGGUGUCCUUUGGAUGUGAGGGUUCGAGUCCCUUUCCCGGUA
rnacentral:tRNA from 1 species